UGCAGCACCUGCUAGUACCACCAGAGUUAGAAGGAAUAUCAGCCUUUUCUAUCUUAAGUCCCUGCUCACAGGGUUUUUUUUGAUGACCAUAAAAAGGGGCUGAAAGCUCAAACUAGGCAAACGGGGAUUCUGGUGUUUUUACAGAGUAUGAAGAGCAUUGUGAUGCUGGUGGAUUUUGGACCAGUGAUUAACUUCAGCAGAGCCCAGAUAAAAUUUGGAUGAUUUAUUGGGAACUGGUGUGUGACCGGCACCAACUCAUCUUCUAGAAAAAAAGAGAGAGGGAUGUUUAAAUUUCAGUGCCUCAGAGCAUUAAACCAG